rnacentral:pre_miRNA from 1 species
UGAUGAUGAUGAUGAUGAUGAUGAUGGUGAUGAUGAUGGUGAUGAUGAUACCAAAAGUAACGACAAUAGACAUAGCAACAGUGACCGGGAUCAUGAUCAACAUCAUCAUCAUUAUUAUCAUCAUCAUCAUCAUUAUUAUUA